UACGGAGGGUGCAAGCGUUAAUCGGAAUUACUGGGCGUAAAGCGCCCGCAGGCGGUUUGUUAAGUCUGAUGUGAAAUCCCCGGGCUCAACCUGGGAACGGCAUCUGAUACUGGGAGACUAGAGUACCGUAGAGGGGGGUAGAAUUCCAGGUGUAGCGGUGAAAUGCGUAGAUAUCUGGAGGAAUACCGGUGGCGAAGGCGGGCCCCUGGACGAAGACUGACGCUCAGGUGCGAAAGCGUGGGGAGCGAACGGG
rnacentral:rRNA from 1 species